ACGCUGGCGGCACGCCUAACACAUGCAAGUCGAACGAAGUAGCAAUACUUAGUGGCAGACGGGUGAGUAACAUGUAGGUAUCUGCCCUUUGGCCUGGAAUAACACGAGGAAACUUGUGCUAAUACCGGAUAAGUCUUUACGGAGAAAGCUUUAUGCACCAUUGGAUGAGCCUGCACUUGAUUAGUUUGUUGGUGGGGUAAUGGCCUACCAAGACUGUGAUCAAUAGCUGAUUUGAGAGGAUGAUCAGCCACAUUGGGACUGAGACACGGCCCAAACUCCUACGGGAGGCAGCAGUGGGGAAUCUUGCACAAUGGAGGAAACUCUGAUGCAGCGAUGCCGCGUGAGUGAAGAAGGCCCUUGGGUUGUAAAGCUCUUUCGUCGGGGAAGAAAAUGACUGUACCCGAAUAAGAAGGUCCGGCUAACUUCGUGCCAGCAGCCGCGGUAAUACGAAGGGACCUAGCGUAGUUCGGAAUUACUGGGCUUAAAGAGUUCGUAGGUGGUUGAAAUAGUUGGUGGUGAAAUCCCAGAGCUUAACUCUGGAACUGCCAUCAAAACUUUUCAGCUAGAGUAUGAUAGAGGAAAGCAGAAUUUCUAGUGUAGAGGUGAAAUUCGUAGAUAUUAGAAAGAAUACCAAUUGCGAAGGCAGCUUUCUGGAUCAUUACUGACACUGAGGAACGAAAGCAUGGGUAGCGAAGAGGAUUAGAUACCCUCGUAGUCCAUGCCGUAAACGAUGUGUGUUAGACGUUGGAAAUUUAUUUUCAGUGUCGCAGGGAAACCGAUAAACACACCGCCUGGGGAGUACGACCGCAAGGUUAAAACUCAAAUGAAUUGACGGGGACCCGCACAAGUAGUGGAGCAUGUGGUUUAAUUCGAAGAUACGCGCAGAACCUUACCAACACUUGACAUGUUCGUCGCGACUCUAAGAGAUUAGAGUUUUCGGUUCGGCCGGACGAAACACAGGUGCUGCAUGGCUGUCGUCAGCUCGUGUCGUGAGAUGUUGGGUUAAGUCCCGCAACGAGCGCAACCCUCACUUUUAGUUGCCAUCAUUAAGUUGGGCACUCUGAAAGAACUGCCAGUGAUAAGCUGGAGGAAGGUGGGGAUGACGUCAAGUCCUCAUGGCCCUUACGUGUUGGGCUACACACGUGCUACAAUGGUAUCUACAACAGGAAGCAAGACUGCGAAGUUAAGCAAAUCCCUAAAAGAUACCUCAGUUCGGAUUGCACUCUGCAACUCGAGUGCAUGAAGCUGGAAUUACUAGUAAUCGUGGAUCAGCGUGCCACGGUGAAUGCGUUCCCGGGUCUUGCACUCACCGCC
rnacentral:rRNA from 1 species